rnacentral:tRNA from 1 species
GGGAACGUAGCUCAAUAGGUAGAGCGCCGCUUUUGCAAAGCGGGGGUAGCGGGUUCGAUACCCGCCGUUUCCA